rnacentral:rRNA from 1 species
UACGGAAGGCAGCAGUGGGGAAUAUUGCACAAUGGGCGAAAGCCUGAUGCAGCUAUGCCGCGUGUAUGAAGAAGGCCUUAGGGUUGUAAAGUACUUUCAUCGGGGAGGAAAAAACAAAACUAAUAAUUUUAUUUCUUGACGUUACCCGAAAAAGAAGCACCGGCUAACUCCGUGCCAGCAGCCGCGGUAAUACGGAGGGUGCUAGCGUUAAUCAGAAUUACUGGGCGUAAAGAGCACGUAGGUGGUUUUUUUAAGUCAGAUGUGAAAUCCCUGGGCUUAACCUGGAACUGCAUUUUGAAACUGAAAUACUAGAGUAUCGUAGAGGGAGGUAGAAUUCUAGGUGUAGCGGUUGAAAUGCGUAGAUAUCUGGAGGAAUACCUGUGGCGAAAGCGGCCUCCUAAACGAAUACUGACACUGAGGUGCGAAAGCGUGGGGAGCAAACAGGGAUUAAUACCCGU